AACCUGACUUCUUUUACACAUACAGUCUGUUUAAGUGGUGCAGACUUAUAAAUAAUAAAAUAAAUGCUGAUACGGAUAAUAAUUUGAUGAUUUCUCUGCAAAUGUUGGAAAAUGUCAAAAAGCAGUGGAAUAGUGGUGAAAACAGCCCAUAACUGACAGCAAUGUGUUUAAAAUAGUUUUUCCAGAAUCCAAAAAACAAAUAUAUCCUGAUAGAUGUCAUAGUGAGAAGCUGGAAAAGGUGAAAAAAUAAAAUCAAUUUAAAAAUUAAAAAAUCAGGAAAGGACUCAUGAGAUGAUUUGAUCUUAUUUGUUCAUCUGAGGACUGACUGAAUGAUGGCUUCUGUAAAUGUAAAAAAGUAGGUCAGAAAAAGUCAAAACCGCUGUGAUUAAAAUUGUUUUUCCAGAAUCCAAAAAUGAAAUAUAUUCUGAUGGAUGUCAAUAUCAGAAGUUGGAAAAGGUGAAAAAUGAAUUAACCUUUGACUUAAUGGGUGGUUUUGGGGUCAGAGAAGCUGACUAGACCAUAUAUUUCAGGUUUAUGCCAUUUACACACAGGAAAAAGUGUAAAAACAGCAACUUAAAAAAAAAAAAAAAAAAAAAAAAAUUCAGCUCCAACUAACAUUUAUCUUAUCAUCUGUUCAUCUGAGGACUGCUUCAAUGAUGGUUUCUCUGUAAAUGUGUAAAAAAAGUAGGUCAGAAAAUGUCAAAGGCAGUUGAAUUGAUUGUUUUUGGGUCAGAGAAGCUGACUAGACCAUAUAUUUCAGGUUAAUGUCAUUUAUACACAGGAAAAAGUGUAAAAACAGCACUUUUU